AGACCGUCCAUGAAUGCAGUUUAUUCGUUUCCAGGUGAUGCAGACAGACCAGAGGAUGCUGACCACGAGAGACAGACCUAUUCCUAACAUCAGUGAACUUCAGCAUGGACUCAAAGGAAAGGACAUACCUGAAGGACACAACUGCCUCACCGUUUUCUCAGAGGGGCAAGAAGAAAAUGAAAAGCUGAUUUCAGAUUAAAGACCAAUACAGGACAUUCACUAAGAAACUACACUUUUAUUGUGAACACAAAGUCAAACAGGACCAUCAUUUGUUUGUCACAGCUGAGCCCAGUAUGUGCUCACAGAUGCAGUUAGGUGGUUUCUUCAUCAAGCCUGGUCCUCCUCCAUCAGGCCUGGUCCUCCUCCCAGAGAAAGACCUCUCCACCUCAGUCCUCUCCAGCCAAACCCACAGACAGGACAUCCGUCAUGCUGAGGUUUCUCCCAAAGUCUCUGCACGCUGUCUCAAUUGAUCCACACUGUGAAUAUGAGGGGGAAAUGUGUGUCAUAAAUGCUUUAGACAAUAAGAAAUAUGAAGUUAACUGUAAGGAAUGGCUCAUUAUUUUGUAAAUAGACAAAACUAUUACUGUAUUUCUAUAUCUCAUGUCUGAAAGUUUAAUUUAAAAGAAGAAGAGGCCCCAAAAAUAAAGAUUGGUAUAUCAAUAAA